GACGAACGCUGGCGGCGUGCCUAAUACAUGCCAGUUGAGCGAUGAAGAUUGGUGCUUGCACCAAUUUGAAGAGCAGCGAACGGGUGAGUAACGCGUGGGGAAUCUGCCUUUGAGCGGGGGACAACAUUUGGAAACGAAUGCUAAUACCGCAUAACAACUUUAAACAUAAGUUUUAAGUUUGAAAGAUGCAAUUGCAUCACUCAAAGAUGAUCCCGCGUUGUAUUAGCUAGUUGGUGAGGUAAAGGCUCACUAAGGCGAUGAUACAUAGCCGACCUGAGAGGGUGAUCGGCCACAUUGGGACUGAGACACGGCCCAAACUCCUACGGGAGGCAGCAGUAGGGAAUCUUCGGCAAUGGACGAAAGUCUGACCGAGCAACGCCGCGUGAGUGAAGAAGGUUUUCGGAUCGUAAAACUCUGUUGGUAGAGAAGAACGUUGGUGAGAGUGGAAAGCUCAUCAAGUGACGGUAACUACCCAGAAAGGGACGGCUAACUACGUG
rnacentral:rRNA from 1 species